GACGAACGCUGGCGGCGUGCCUAAUACAUGCAAGUCGAACGAACCGCGACUAAGUGCUUGCACUAAGUCAAGGUGAGUGGCGAACGGGUGAGUAACACGUGGGUAACCUACCUCAUAGUGGGGGAUAACAGUCGGAAACGACUGCUAAUACCGCAUAGGACAUAGGAUCACAUGAUCCAGUGAGGAAAGGUGGCGCAAGCUAUCGCUAAGAGAUGGACCCGCGGUGCAUUAGCUAGUUGGUAGGGUAAAGGCCUACCAAGGCGAUGAUGCAUAGCCGACCUGAGAGGGUGAUCGGCCACAUUGGGACUGAGACACGGCCCAAACUCCUACGGGAGGCAACAGUAGGGAAUCUUCCGCAAUGGACGCAAGUCUGACGGAGCAACGCCGCGUGAGUGAAGAAGGUCUUCGGAUCGUAAAGCUCUGUUGUUAGAGAAGAACAGCGCAUAGAGUAACUGCUAUGCGUGUGACGGUAUCUAACCAGAAAGCCACGGCUAACUACGUG
rnacentral:rRNA from 1 species